rnacentral:lncRNA from 1 species
GGAUGAUUAGCAUUGAGUUCUCUCUUUUAAAUACUUCAUUUCUUUAAUUCUAAGUGGAUUUUGAUGGUGUCAUUUACACUUCUUCCUACAUAGUAUGCUAAUUCUUCUUCCUAUUUCUUCCUUUAGUUCUUGUUGUUAAUCUUUUGCGGUUUUGUCCUUGUUAUAUUUUGUUGUUAUUAAUUUCUAAGAUUAGUCGUCUAAUAAAGAUAUUUUCAUUGAUGUUGUUAAUGGCAGAAACGAAGAAAUCUAAGAACAACCUGCCUUGGAAACUCAACAAGAAAAGCAAAGACGCUGAAGAGAUCUUCAAGAGGAAGAAUGUGAAAUUAAACAUCCAGGUCAUCAAAAGAAAAAGAAAUAAGAAAAAUGAUAAAACUACUCCUUCCUGAUCUGCACCUAUAACGAAGAAGAAAAUAAAAUGGAUGAUCAUUCUGCUGAUGAGGAUGCUCCAUUUUAUAGAUGAUAGUGCGCUUGUAAUUAACGAAGAUGAGUUCUAAAAACCACUUAAUCGUUUCUCAUAAUCUUCAAUAUGAAUAAUUCUAGACUAAAAAGAUAAAUUAAAAAUAGGUUUCUAAAAUUUUAUGGUCAUGACUUCUUUUACUUCACUCUUUCUGAAAUGUAAAAACAGUGGUUUCUAGAAUCUUAUGCUCAUGACUUCUUUUACUUCACUCUUUCUGAAUAUCAUAUAUUUUCUAUUAUCUUAUGUAUUUUUUAUAUUUAUCCUAGUGCCCAUUUGGAUAUAUCGGAACCAUACUUCUGCAUAGCAUCCUUUGCCUGAAAUAUCAAAUAAUUAUGAUUUUGUAACGAUUCGACUGGUAGUUUCAUGAGUUACUGCUAUGUGUCCCCCGUUUAUUCCUUUUAUUGCUUUUUUUAUCCAUAUUAUGAGCUAUCGCAUUGGUUGGGUCAUGUUCAGAAAGGUUUUAGUAAUGUUUGAGACACUUAGUCUCUUUUGAGGGAGCUUAAGUUGGAAAACUUAACCAGAUGUUGACUUAUGUGUUAAAGGGCUCAGAUGUUAGUUCUGAUGGUUCAGAUAGAUUCAGGAGAUGAUAUGGGACUAAGGAUAGUCAUCAUAAUGUGUUUUGGAGGUAUGAAGUAGAUUUAGGCUUGAAUUGGCGAAAUUGAAUUUUUGGCGUUUUCCAAUUAAUAGGUGAGAUUUUGAUUUAGAGGUAGGAAUGAAAUUCCGAGAAUUGCAAUAGUUUUGUUGUGUCAUUUGAAAUGUGUGUGCAAGUUUUCAAGUCAUUCGGACGUGGUUUGGUUGGAUUUUUUUACCAAAAGCGUAAUGUAGAAGAUUUUGAAAUUCUUAAGCUUGAAUCCAAUGUGAAUUUGGUGUUUUGAUGUUUUGACCGUUUCGAAGGUUGAAACAAGUUUGAAUGAUGUUAUAGGAUAUACUAGCAUAUUUGGUUGAGGUUUUGGGGGCCUCGGGUGAGUUUCGUGUGGUUAAAUGGACCAUUUCAAUUUGUGAAAAGUUGUAGAAAAAAAUCUCUGUAGUGUUGCAGACAGCAAAGCUUCGCGUUCGCGAAGGGCUAAAUUGUGAGGCUAAAGGUUUGGCCUUCUCGUUAGUGAAGGAGGUCUCGCGUUCGCGAAGGGCAGGGGUCUCUGAGCAUCGUGUUCGUGAGGUAGUAGACGCGUUCGCAAUAGUUUGAGCUGCGCAGUUAUCGCGUUCGCCGGGGGGGUGGUCGCGUUUGGAAUUUGUGGUCACGUCAGAUUGUGCUUCGCGAACGCAAGGCUUUGGCCGCGUUCUCGAAGAAGAAUUUAAAUGAAUGCGCAUAAUGAUUUAAAAGGGAUAUUCUUCGAUUUUGAGUCGAAGUUCCUCCAUUUUUGGGUGAUUUUGAAAUUCUUUUUAAGGGAAUUAAAGAGGGAAUCAAGGAGCACACUUGGAGGUAAGAUUUAUGGACUUAAUACUCGAUCCUAAUGUGAUCUCUACCUGAUUAAUCAUGGAAUUUAAGCUUAAUAUUGAAGAACUAGGACUUGUAAUUGGAGACCUUGAAUUUGGGAUUUGAGGGUUCGUUUGUUGUUAGAUUGUGAUGCUUUUGAUAUGAAUGAACUCGAGAAGUGAUCAGGAGUCUAUUGAUGCAAUUUUUAUCGGAAUCUGAGACGUGAGCCGGGGAUAGGGUUAUGCGAAUUUCGGAAUUUGUAUUGUUAUUUAAUUUUUUUCGAGCGGACUUUGUUUCCUUGGCAUAUUUUGAUGGUUUUUCACCGAUUAUGGUUAUAUUUAAAGCAUUCGAAAGCCGAUUUGAGAGGCAAAGGCAUAGCGGUCUAGAGUUUGGACCGGAUAGAGGUGAGUAAUAAUUUUAAAUGUUAUCGUGAGGGUAUAAAACCCUGAAUUUCACAUCGUUGUGUUAUAUUGAGGUGCACACGCUAGAUGAUGAGCGUGGUGUCGUGCACUAUUGGGGAUUGGGACUUAGUACAUCCCAAAUGACUAUUUUACUGUGUAUUUAAUUGAAAACUAUUUGCUAUCAUCAUGUUUUCGGCUGAAUGUCAUAUUUGGGCAUCGUGCUAACUAUUUGAACCCUUAGGAGAUUUUUACUGAUAUUCCCUCACUGUUUUACUUUAUACUCGUACUUUAUCAUGCUAUAUUCUACUGUUUUAUAACUCAGCCAUGUUUACUCUGUUUUAAUACUUAAAAUGAUAUUUUAAACAAUAUUUUGGGUUGAGCAUCAUGUUUUACUAUGCCCAAGUGACUUAUAAGAUUCUGACUGAGUAAGGCCAAGGGCCUAUGUUUUGAGGAAACAUUGAUUAUGAUUAUGAGGCCGAUGGCCUGAGAAUUGUAUGCUACGAGAUGGCUUUAUACUGCGCUUGGGCUGUAACGGACCCCUCUAGGAGUCUGCACACCUCCGGUGAGCGCGGGUACCCAUUAUGAUAUGAGAUAAAGCCCGAGCGACUGUUGUUCUAUGAUAUUGCCCAAGGGAUAGAUUUUGUUGACAUUGUGCCCGAGGGACAGUUCUUUAUGUGUUUAUCUUUCUUAGUUGCCUGUUUACUUGCUUACUUGUUAAAAGGGCAUUUUAAGGAUAUUAAACUGAACUAAAGUGACUCCAUAUAUUUUUACUGCUUCAUUGUUUCUACUGGAUUUUAUUGCUUCCUUGUAGCAUAUUGUUAUGACUUUACGUGAUUUUUUGCUACUCAGUCUGCAUUUAUUAAUAUUAUUCACUGAGUUUGAGUACUCACUUUACUCUCUACACCCUGUAUGCAGAUUCAAGAGCUUUAGGUCCUGCCAAUGAGAGUUGAUUGUGCAGCAGGCUAUUCGGAGUCCACUAAGUAGCUGCUACGUGUUCGCAGCCCAAUAUUUCUCCCUCCUAUUUUAUUUCCCUUGUUCUAGUUAUGUAAUAAAUUGUAUAAACUCUUUCAUACUCUUAGACUAUGUUAUAUCCUCAUGCAUGGUGACACCCCGAUGUCGG